GGGUGGGGGCGGGGGGAGGGCUAGAGGACACAGGGCAGGACUUUCCAUGCAGGUGCGAAGACCGGACCUUAGCUUGGCUCCAGGAAGUGCCCGCGGUGCCAAAGCGCAGUCGGAGGUGCGCAAGCCUCGGUGCUGGGGAACGAGGGAGCAACCCCGCAACUCCCGAGAGAGGCACUCAAGACGAGCCUAAACCAGAUGGUCCGGGCCUGGGGCCUCACCCUUACCCUACGUGAGGACUCCUGCCUAUUUUUGUCGCCCUACCCCCUUGACGACGGGCCUGUUGCCUGGAGAUGUAAGCGCGUUGGCGGGUGGGGACUAGCGGCAAAUGUGUCAAGUGUGCGUGCGGGAGUCGCUGAUCCUCUUCUCCAAUCCGGACCAACAUCCCAAUUGGGACAGUGCCACGUGCAGGGCUUCCAGCACUUUUUCGACCCGUCGAUCUUGGUGAGGCUCCUUUGAGGCGCGUUUCCAGGCAGCCCGAACUUCCCCAAAUUCUCUCAUUUAUGUGACUGAGAAACUGAAUGAGAAUCCGGCGGGAAGAAGGUACUCCAGCCUGUCAAGAACAAAGACAUGGGGUUGCCAAGACCGAUCUGAAACAGGCAGGAGCCGCACCUCGCGGUUUCGCAAAAGCAGGGCGCUGUUUCCAGAGCUUCGGACAAUGGGGAGAGCGGAAGACCGGGACAUGGAGGGGGCCUCCAAGGCUUUGCCCAUUGAACCCACACUGCAGUGAGUCCCCACUUGACCGAUAAAGAGACUGAGGCGCCCGGGACGGAAGUGACUCGCGCCGGGACACGGCGGCCGGGAGAGUGGGAAGUAGACAGUUCUAGCGGAUUCAGGCGACCAGCAUUUCCCCUUGGGGUGUAGGUAGGUGGUGUCCGCGGGCGGCUGCGGGUCUCUGGACCGCGGACCCGGGCCUGCCCGUUUGUCCCCACCCCUGAAAGCACUAAGCCAAUCAGGCUCGAGGGAGGAAGGGCCCUCGCUCUUCGGGCCCCGCCCCCUCUAGAUAAGCCAGGAAUGUCAAAUAUUUGUUCGCGGGGCGGGGCGCAACAGCAAGGUAAGGCCCCUCCCCCACCCACCCUAGAGCGCGCGUGCGCCAGGCGUAGUCGGGCCCUUCUCCCCGCCAAGCUUUUGCUGCCAACUCGCCUUCAUCCCAGCAGUGCCUCAGCCCUGGGGCCUCUCCUAAAACUUCCCUGGCCAGGUGCAUAGCUCCUGUCCGGCUCUUGUCGGGGCUGCUGCUACAGGGGCUCGUGGAAUCUCAUCCGGAAUCUCGUCCUCGCCUCUUCGCCUCGCUUCUUCGUGGCAGGACUCGCCUCAUGAGUCCUGUCACAAAGGCAGCGGUCGCUCCAGCCGCCGGUACAUGAAGACACACAGGUGGGAUUGUUCGGGUCUGGAGGCUGUUGUAUUAUACUGGCUAAGCUCACUGCCUGGAGCACCCACCGACCUACUCAUCCCCUUGUUUUCCUGGCAAACUCCUACUUAUCUUUGAAGACCGGUCUUUAAUUCUUCCUCCAGGCAGCCUUCCUUGAUGUCUAAGCCAGGUUAGAUACCCUGUUCUGGGCCCCUUUCCCCCAAGGUUCAGUCAUGAUUGUGUCAGUGUUUGGCGUCUCAUGAAUCCAGGGAGGCUCUGGCAGCAGAGGAAUAGAAGCGUACUGAGCUAUUAGCUUUAGGAGACUCACUUGGCUUCCAAAUAGGCUCAGCUAUGGCUACCAAACCAGCUCAGAAGCCCUGAUCUUGGUUGGUUGCCCCAAGCCCAUCCACCCACCUGGUCCAGGUAGAGGAGCUUGCAGCUUGGGCAAAGGAGAGGGAAUGCAAAGAGCCCAGUAACACAGGAGGGGUAAAGGCUGUUAGCUGGAUUUUCACCUGAGGAAGAUACCACAACUGGCUUGGCUCUUCAGCCUCUGGAUUUAUUUCCUACCUCUGGUCUUCGCUCAAAAUGUUCCUCUCCACAGGAACACCCUCCCUAUUUCCCAGUCUUUUCCAGAACUCACAUCCAGCCCUUGGACCUCUCAGUUCCUUAUCUUCUUCUCUAGGUUUGACAGACACCAGGACCCUAUCCUGGAAGGUAGAGAACGGGUGUAUCAAUCAUUCAUGCAACAUAUGUUAAGCACUUGCUGUGUGCCAGAUACUGUGCUGGUGGUAACUAGUAACCCAGGAGGCGACAGUAAUAGGACAUGUGAAGGAUUUGCUCUUCCAGUGAUUGUAUUUUAAUGGGAGCCAGGCAGGGGCUGCUUCAAAGCCAAUGGUCAUGUUGGACGGAGGCCUAAAUGCAGAGCUCAGUUGAGUUCCCAAAAGUUGGGGCGGCAGAAUGAUCCUAGUGGAAUAAGUACAGAAGUCCUGAGGGAGAAUGAGGUUGUCUUGCUCUAGGCAGCAAGGAAGCCAUUGAGGCUGGAAAUUAGAAAGCUGGAGAAAGGGGGGAGUAGAAAUCAGGGGAGAUGGUCAGAGUACCCUGCAGGAUCCUCACUCACUAUCAGUGAAAUGCGUAUGAUGAAUGCAAUGGGAGGGUCACGAGUGGGGUUAGGCAGACAGUGAUAGGGCCUGGCUUACUGUUUAAUGAUUUCAACCUCGUAUGUGGAGAACAACCCACAGGAAUAAGGGACAAAUUGGGACAUCAGUGAGGAAGCUACUAUGGGGAUUAGGGUAGUCUGGUUUGGGGAGGGUAGAGCUGGCAAGACUGGUGACCAUCUGAUUGUGGGCCUGAAAGUCAGGGAGGUAUUUAGAGUCCAGGGUGACCCCAGGUCUGCAGCCAUCAUGUGGAUAGUGGGAUCAUGUGAAAUGGGGGGACCCUCACCUUCUGACCCUUCUUCACAAUGCCAGCAUGGAUCAUUACUGACCAAGCCUUGGAAACCCCUCCCCUAAUGGCCAUGGUUUCUAUUACCUGCAGGGCCGUGGGAGUGAGCACCUCAGGAACUGCUCCUGAGGACAGGGCCACCCUGUGAUGGCCCUCAGCGUCACCUGAGGCUGUUGGGCUGACAAGACAUUCAGACUGUGCCAGAGUGCAGAGUGCAAAGCACUGUCUUGUUCCCUACCGUCUCCCCACUUAACCCUUCGCUCUGGUCUCCUGCCUGUCCCUGCUAGAUUGGUCCUUAGUAACCCCUCUGCUGGGCCCGGGAUGGAGGCGAGGGAGGCAGGUGUGCUAAUUUUUUUUGGUGGGGAGGAGUGUCACUGGGUCAGGGCCUGAGGUGGGACAUAGUUGGACCUCAAAAGAGGAGGCUACCUCCUCCACCGGUGUGUUUCAGUAUAAGAACACAGGAGAGGCAGGCCAAGAUAGUGAGUAGAUUCAUUGAAGGGCACUCUGAGAGUCUGGAAAGGGUCAAUUACUGAGUAAGAGGAAGAAAGGAAGGAAGGGGAAGAAUAGAGGUCUUAAGACCAGCUGACCAGGGUGUGACUGGCCCUCGGGAGGGAGUGUGGGAUCAAGACUUCCAGUCUCCAAACCCAUGACUCCCUCUCCCAGAGCGAUGCAUGAUGCUGGCAUAUUACCGGCUGUCAAGUCUCUAUCCCCUCUGUUCACCCCCAAUUCCUCACUCAGGGAGCCUGUAUCCUCUCUGGAUCCCCAGGUUUGCUUGGGGUGGGAGUAAUGGGGGGACCACGAAGUCCCAACCCGCUC